rnacentral:rRNA from 1 species
AGAGUUUGAUCCUGGCUCAGGACGAACGCUGGCGGCGUGCCUAAUACAUGCAAGUCGAGCGAAUCGAUGGGAGCUUGCUCCCUGAGAUUAGCGGCGGACGUGUGAGUAACACGUGGGCAACCUGCCUAUAAGACUGGGAUAACUUCGGGAAACCGGAGCUAAUACCGGAUACGUUCUUUUCUCGCAUGAGAGAAGAUGGAAAGACGGUUUACGCUGUCACUUAUAGAUGGGCCCGCGGCGCAUUAGCUAGUUGGUGAGGUAAUGGCUCACCAAGGCGACGAUGCGUAGCCGACCUGAGAGGGUGAUCGGCCACACUGGGACUGAGACACGGCCCAGACUCCUACGGGAGGCAGCAGUAGGGAAUCUUCCGCAAUGGACGAAAGUCUGACGGAGCAACGCCGCGUGAACGAAGAAGGCCUCCGGGUCGUAAAGUUCUGUUGUUAGGGAAGAACAAGUACCAGAGUAACUGCUGGUACCUUGACGGUACCUAACCAGAAAGCCACGGCUAACUACGUGCCAGCAGCCGCGGUAAUACGUAGGUGGCAAGCGUUGUCCGGAAUUAUUGGGCGUAAAGCGCGCGCAGGUGGUUCCUUAAGUCUGAUGUGAAAGCCCACGGCUCAACCGUGGAGGGUCAUUGGAAACU